UACGUAGGGGGCUAGCGUUAUCCGGAAUUACUGGGCGUAAAGGGUGCGUAGGUGGUUUCUUAAGUCAGAGGUGAAAGGCUACGGCUCAACCGUAGUAAGCCUUUGAAACUGGGAAACUUGAGUGCAGGAGAGGAGAGUGGAAUUCCUAGUGUAGCGGUGAAAUGCGUAGAUAUUAGGAGGAACACCAGUUACGAAGGCGGCUCUCUGGACUGUAACUGACACUGAGGCACGAAAGCGUGGGGAGCAAACAGG
rnacentral:rRNA from 1 species